CAAUAGCGUAUAUUAAAGUUGUUGCAGUUAAAAAGCUCGUAGUUGAAUUUUUGCUUGCCGCCGAUGUAGGAACUUCCGUACGUUCGGCGGCGUGCAUCCUUGGGUGGAACCUGUGUGGCAUUAGGUUGUCGUGCAGGGGAUGCUCAUCGUUUACUGUGAAAAAAUUAGAGUGUUCAAAGCAGGCUUAUGCCGUUGAAUAUAUUAGCAUGGAAUAAUAAGAUAGGACCUUGGUACUAUUUUGUUGGUUUGCGCACCGAGGUAAUGAUUAACAGGGACAGUUGGGGGUAUUCGUAUUCCAUUGUCAGAGGUGAAAUUCUUGGAUUUCUGGAAGACGAACUACUGCGAAAGCAUUUACCAAGGAUGUUUUCAUUAA
rnacentral:rRNA from 1 species